AUGCGGUCGGGCCACCCGUCGCCGGCAGGGGUGCCGGACGUCGACGUAGUCCGCUCCCACCCGACCUCUUCUCCGACCCGGUGGCUCCCCGGUAGAUCCGGUCGUUCCGGUCGCUGGCGGCUCUGUCGGCGGUCGGAGUUUGCCGGUUGGUCAUCAUUCACAGUCAUGAUGGGUCUUUGGGGCAUCUUGUUUCCCGGGCGGCGGCCCGGGAGGUGGGAGCCGCUGUGCUUGUGGGCUGAGCCCGCAGCUCAAGUGCGGGCGGCUAGUGGCCAUGGCUGCGUCGGCGAUGUGGUGGCUGCCAUCUCGAUGUUCUCGUCGGAGGUGGAGUUUGCGAGCCAGGGUGGAAACCAUGUAUGGUUUGGCCAUACCGGAGACGACGCCUGUGGGUGUCGCCAUCUUCUGAAGCCUCCGUUCUGA
rnacentral:rRNA from 1 species